CCUACACUGACACUACACUUGAAUGACGCCACAGACAGUCGUAACUUUAAAUUAAUGUUCAAAAGUGUUUCUAAAAGCCAGAAUUUUAAAGGGGAGGGCGGUCGUUUUUUUUCUCAAGAAUAAUUAUAGAAAUAAGCUAUAAACUGGUAUAUUUUGUAAAGUUUGACAUAAUUACAAAUAAAUGUAUGCCUAAGUGAC